rnacentral:rRNA from 1 species
UACGUAGGGUCCGAGCGUUGUCCGGAGUUACUGGGCGUAAAGGGCGCGCAGGCGGCGGUGCUGGCCCGGCGUGAAAGCCCCCGGCUCAACCGGGGAAGGGCGUCGGGGACCGCACCGCUUGAGGGCGGUAGGGGCUGGUGGAAUGCCUGGUGUAGUGGUGAAAUGCGUAGAGAUCAGGCGGAACACCCGUGGCGAAGGCGGCCAGCUGGGCCGACCCUGACGCUGAGGCGCGAAGGCGUGGGGAGCGAACGGG